rnacentral:rRNA from 1 species
UACGUAGGGGGCAAGCGUUGUCCGGAUUUAUUGGGCGUAAAGCGCUCGCAGGUGGUUCGUUGCGUCGUGCGUGAAAGACCCCGGCUCAACUGGGGAGUGUCGUGCGAUACGGGCGGACUGGAGGCCAGUAGGGGGAUGCGGAAUUCCGGGUGUAGUGGUGGAAUGCGUAGAGAUCCGGAGGAACACCAGCGGCGAAGGCGGCAUCCUGGACUGGUCCUGACACUCAUGAGCGAAAGCAUGGGGAGCGAACAGG